rnacentral:rRNA from 1 species
UACGGGGGGGGCAAGCGUUGUUCGGAAUUACUGGGCGUAAAGGGCUCGUAGGCGGCCAACUAAGUCAGACGUGAAAUCCCUCGGCUUAACCGGGGAACUGCAUCUGAUACUGGAUGGCUUGAGUUCGGGAGAGGGAUGUGGAAUUCCAGGUGUAGCGGUGAAAUGCGUAGAUAUUGGGAGGAACACCGGUGGCGAAGGCGGCCCCCUGGACCGGUACUGACGCUGAGGCGCGAAAGCGUGGGUAGCAAACGGG